CUGUCCUUAUAGCUGAUCACCUCUGAGCAGCCGGAACAGUCCCAGAGUGUGUACAAAAGAGGCAAGAAGGGUUCCCCUCCCCACUUCUGGAUGUUUCCAAAGCAUACAGUCUUGCAUGAAAACAGUCCCUUCAGCUUCUGUGCCCUCUCCUCAAGUCCCCAAACCAGGCCAGGUGCCAUGGUAAGGAGCAGAUGCCAUGCUUCUCCCCAGGUGUCCUGGUCUCACACAAAUCAUAUAACCACACAGCCCCACUCUCCUCUCUAUGUCCCUCCCUCUCCCACCGAAAGCCAUUUGGUAUAUCAAUCAUACAAAUUCCCAAAGGAUGCAACAAAUAACCCAACUAAAUCUCAAGCAAGCACUUCGAGGACCCCUGCUGUCCCUGGGGCUCCUGGCCAUUUCCUAACAGCAGAACAGGAGGGAGCUCUCUGCUCUCAUGAGAGAAAAGGGGUUCCUAAUUUGCUUAGCUGGAGGGUAAAUGAAGAGAACAUGACGUCAGAGAGUUUUGAAUGCUGCCUCUUCCCAGAUGCCGUCCCCAAACGUUCCAAAUUACGAUUUGUUGAAAUUCAAAAGGUCUUGAAGUCAUUUGAGGGCGAGGAGUUUCCAACGUUACUAUACAUUUCACAACAACAAUGAGAAUGCGUAGAACUCAUGCUCUGCUCUUACACGAAGUGGAGUCUCAUCAUCCCCAUCUUACAGACAAGUAAUUGAGGUCCAGGGAGGUUAGGUGAGUGAAUCAGGGCAUACGAUGAAAAAAUGUCGAAUUCAGGUUUGAGCACAGGCAAUCUGAAAGACAACCUACGUUUUUGGCUAUUUUAUUGCCCUGUCUCACAGAAGGAGCCAAGUUCCAGGGAGCCUGAGGCCCAGAGUGUAGGAGGAUCAGGAUGAGCAAGGCUCCGAAGCUCACAGUCAUCUGAGGCCCGCCUGCAUACACCCCCUCACACAGAAGAGAGAAGAUCACACGGGAAAGCAUGGGUGGGGCAUUCCCUGGGACCCUAGGACACUGACCUUCUCAGAAGAAUAAAAAGGUUUAAGUCUGUCCAGUCCAACCUCCACCUGAAAAUCUAGCAGACAACUGGACAAGCGUGCUUCAUUGGAUUUAAGGCUCAUGUGGUUUUGGCUCUUAAAAGAACUUGGAAGGAGAAGAGCUUCACUCAGACUCCUGGGAAGAGCUAUGCUCAGGGGACAGUGACUAAGAACAUGCCCAACGCAGCACAUGUUUCUACAGCGUGGUGAUGCAUCAUUACGUCUUUCCACUCAAGAUUUAAGAAGGCAAAGGGCAUUUCAAGAAGAGGGAACACUCCGUACAGAGCCUUGGAUUCAGGAAUGUUGAGCGAGGCCACAUUGGAAGCAUGGUGGGAGUCUGGUCAGAGAGAGAAUGCACGAGCCAGGGGAGGGACAGAGAAGCAGACUCCCUGCUGAGCAAGGAGCCCAACUCGGGACUCGAUCCCAGGACCUCGGGAUCAUGACCUCAGCUGAAGGCAGAUGCUUCACCGACUGAGCCACCCAGGCGUCCUCCUCUAUUUUACAUAAUAGUCAUAUAUUGUGCCCCCAAGUUCCCAUCCUUUGAAAAGUUUCUAUCUCCUCAAAGUCCUAAAAAUCCUGAGGUGAAACGAUUAAACUGACCAAUAACAAAUCAAUUUUAGGCAGAACUACAAAGGCAUAUGUUAUGAACUGUACUAUUUCCCACCCCCCGACCAAGUUCUUAUGUGGGGAGUCCUAACCCCCAGUACCUCAGAACGUGACUGUAUUUAGAAACGGAUUCUUUAAAGAAGUAACUGAGUCAAAAAGAAGUCAGUAGGGUGGGCCUCGUCCCAUAGGACUGGUGUUCCUUAUAUAGGGAGGAGAUUGGGCCACAGACACAGAGGGAAGACCACGUGAGGACCCAGGGAGAAGGCUGCAUCUGCAAGCCCAGGAGCCCAGCCUCGUUAAUAAUGGAGUUGAUAGAGGAAGGUGGCCAGGUGCCCUCGUCCCUAUGUUCUCUCGUCAAAAAUAAUCACGAGGCUGCAGAAGGAGGUGGGAAAGAAGCCCAAGAAGACCCCAUGGGCAGCAAGGAGUCCUCUGUGAGACAACAGGACACGGUUGGAUGCGGGGCUGAGAGGCCUUUGUGGGGUCACUGCUGGUCUCGCCCCACAGGCCCUGCCACGAGCGUCGUAUAUUUCGAGGGGAAGAGGCACUGGGUCCCUGGAAGGACCAUCCUUCACGUCCAGAAAGCCCCAGCGAAGCCCGGCAGAACAGCACUUAGCCUGGGGAUGGUGGGCUUCUUGCGCAUCCCUUGGCCACCAUGGCGUGGCCCCCUGCCCCCAUCUAAAGCAGACGCUAAUGCAGGGAAGAAGCCCUGUGGGUCAGAAGGCUCUGGAGGGUUAAGGCUUGUUCUGGAGGUCACUCCAUUUAACCCUUCCCUCUGCCUUUCUCUUCGCUUCUCAUGGAAGCCCACCUAAUGGUGAUUCUUUUCUCAAACGCAUCCUGCCUUUUGGGUUUGGAGGUGCCGGCCCCGAAGCCGGCGGUGGCAAUGGGAUUAAUGGGGCCAGGAGGCUUUCGACCCCCAACCUCUGUGGGCUUUUCUGUGGGCUUUCUCGCUCUCUCCCAGCAAGCCCCGUGUCUGUGGGACGGACCGCGUCAUUAACAUGCAUGCAUUUGAAAAGAGCAGAUGAAAGCCACUUCUCUGAGCCAGCCUAAUUGGACAGAAUUGCAGUGGCGAGGUAAGGGGUGGGCCUCAUCAGUGAGAGGGGGGCCGAGCACAGAAGGGAGGGGCGUUCUAGAAGGACACUGGCUCUUUUUGAUGAAAACGUGGGCCUCCCUACAGUCAUUCCUCUUCAGCUGCUGCCUCGCAGAUGGACCCUUUAAUUGAAUUUUCCUACGGGCCUGGGGGAGGGAGCCAUUUCAGGCCCAGAGAGCAAUUGAAGUGAAUCGAAUAGCUUCAGUUUCUUUUAUCAGGAGCCGAAGGGGCAGGUGGGGUGUUUGUUGGGCUUGGUGCUUCUGCCCUCUGCCUACCAUCCUCUUCUCUUCAAUUCACCUGAUUUCCACCCCCCCUUUUAAAAAUCCCCACUCUACGUUCUGGCCUUCGCCACCAGGGUAAACUUGGAGGAAGGUGAGUUAGACACACAGGGGUUUGUAUGAUACCACCGGAUUCAGCAACACUUGCCUAGGCCUAUGUUCUGCUCUGAAGGAGACCGUGACAAGUUCCAUGUGUGCCUUCUGAGAACAUAGCCUCGAUCGGCGGGGAAUGCUCUUAAAAGAAGAGCAAAAAGUAAAUCAAAACACAGACCAGAUCAACAAAGCCACUUGAAGAAUAACGAAAGCCAGCAUGAAGUUCCCAACCGAAUAGGUGAGAGCCGGAAAUGUGUGAGCAGGGCGACCGGAAGGUGUCCCUGGAGGUCAGAGGCCUUGUGGGACGUUUAAUUUGGACAAUAGCCUGUAGAUUGGCUGGUGGAAAAAAAAAAAAAUGCACGUCUGGAAGGCAGUGCACCUCUCUGCCCAGGGAACACUCAGAAGAAAAGAAGAAAAAGAAGCCCCAGUUCUCCUGCCCUUGGGAAAAUAGGGAGCUGUGUCUGAUCAGGAUUCUGCUGGAUGGGCCUCAGGUAUUAGAGUUUCAAGAGUGAUUCUCAGCAAUGCCGUGAGGAAGCCUGGCUAUCUUCCCAUCCACACCUUUGGUCAUCUGUACAGACCUUCCUGAGGUGGGGAAUUCGGCGGUGGAGAGGGAAAGAAAGUGUAUUAUAACAACAAUCUUGCAUUGGUUCGGUCGUUCCUCAGUGUUUGCUAAGUCUGCCGACCCUAUUUCUGACUGUUUGUUAAAGUCCAGAGAUACGGAGUCAAAUAUCACAUGGCCCUUGAGGCCUGGGCAGCGGGGAGGUGCAUUCUAAACAUUCUAAACAAAGGGGAAGGCUCUAAGUUCUUCAUCUUGGCCCUUCAUGGCGGCCACAUGAAGGAGGUAAGGAGGCCCUCCUCGGCAUAGUGGUCAUUCUCUGAUGCUCAGGGGGUGGUGACUGAAGCUGUUGGGGGAGAUGACCUGGAGAAAAGAGACUAGUGCUGUCUUUUGAGAGAGGGUGGUUUGGAUGGAAAGAGAGAGAAGGCUACUCUGGGAAGCUCAAUACCAGCAAAGACAGAGGGACAGUGAGAAUGGACGUGGGGAGAGCAGACUGCCUACGUGGGCAGAAGGAUUGUGUCCAUAAGGAAUGAGCGGAUGUUUAGGCAGAUGAAGUAGAAGCAUGGAGGAAGAUCCUCACCCGCAUGAGGAAUUUAGCUACUCCUUAAGAAAGAAAAAAGAAAAAAGAAAACAAAAGCAAAUACAUAACUUUUAUCAAGUUCCCACUUUCGUUUUGAUUAUUUAUCCUUGUCAACAUUGCCUUCGCGGUCAUCAUGGAAUCCUUAUGUAAUGAUCACGAAGUAGUCACCAUUCUCCAUGGUAGGGGGGAAAAAUCAAGGUUCCAACAGUAUGUGGGGCGCGUCUAGGGUGGCACGGUGUGUGGAUGGAGCUGAGAGUCACAGACCAUCUUCUGUGGCACAGUUGCCUCCCGGGACAGGUAGCAGAACAGGGUCACGGCUCACAUCCUCCUGAACACUCCCUCAGGCAAUCUAGGAAUUUUUCUUUCAAGCCUCAAGACCUGUCUCAGCAAAGGCUGACUCAAGUUCCCUGCUGAGAACUCCCCAGGGGGCCCUGGAGAGGCCAUCCCAACCCAUGAUACCAACCACACUGUGGCACGCAAGUGCCUGGGUACGUGGGCACCAGGAGGAAGGUGGGCAAAGCCUUCCAGACAGCCUUUGGGUCACUAUUUUAACUAACAGGCCUCAGCUCAGGCAAACCUGGAAGAACAGCCUGUCCUCAUCUCCUCCUAACUAGGGGUUCCAUGUAAGUGUCUAUCAUGCCACCUGCUGGGUUAGGCACUUUACAUUCAUUAUUUCAGUUAACUUCUCACACCAACCCUUGAGGGUGAGAGUGAUCCCUCUUGUCUGGCACGUGAGGAAAUGGCAGCUCUGAGAAGGGGUUGAGCUAAGCGUCAAAAGCCAGUUUGGUUCCCACCCCUCGCCAGUGAGUCUCUUCCAGCCACCAUGCCCGCCUGAGUCUUAGGGUUCAGACUCAGUAAAUGUCUUUCUCGAGAUCAGCCCAUUCCCCUCCUACCCCCCCCUCCACCGGCGUCCCCCUGUUAGUCACAUACCUUGCCUCCUCUAUUUAAAGAACCUUCAGCGAAGGCAAGGAUUCAUGAGGAGUGCAUGUGCUAAUGGGAGAAGCAGCUUCGUUUGGCCAGAUUCUGGUGUGUGUGGGCUCCCAGGGAUCCAGUUCCUCCUUCACCCCCAGGGACCACCCACCCAGGAUCACAGACUCAGCCCUCAUGUGGCAACGCUUGGAAACAGAGGACUGAUGAUAAAGUAAGCUACCAUUUGUUGCCAGCCGCUGUGCCCAGAACUUCACAUGUAGGGGGGGACAAGAUUUCAAAGCAGUUUCUCAACCUCGGCACUACGGCCAUUUUGUGCCAGAUCAUUCGUUCUUGUGGGGCGGUCCUGUGCAUUGUAAGAGGACCUCUGGCCUCUACCCAUGGGACGCCAGUAGCAUCCCUCACAUUUAUGACAACCAAAAAUGUCUCCAGAUGUUGCCAAGUGUCCCCUGGGUGAAAAAAUUGCCCCCAGUUGAGGAGCACCGUUUCAAAGUGUAAACAGACGUGCCUCUAAAUUGAUAGCAUGGGACCACGUGCCUCUAGUUCAGACUAGCAUGGAGUCUGAAGGCACGCCCUGUCGGCUUUGACUCAGCUCAUCCCGAGCUGUUCUGGUCAUCUGCCUGGAAUUCUGGAGGACAGGGUCACACCUGCAAGGUGACCCUCCAUAAAGCCAAUGCAUAACAAUAUGAGCCCCACUAACGAAGCACCCAAAACCAGAAUCAAUAGCUCCCAAACCCCUGGGCCUCGGGUUCUCUGGGCUGAUUUGCUUGGGAACAGCUGCUAGUAGACAGAAAACCCUGGAAGAACUCUUUGUCAAAGGUUGCCUGGCCACGAAUGGGAUGUGCGGUGUUGCAAAGUGAUUCAACGUCUCUACGUUCAGUUUUCUUGUCUGUGAAGUCAGGAUGGGUUCUCAGCAGUGCUAGACAGAAUGCUAAACAUGCCGCUCCCACUCCUGCGUGGGCACAUAGUAGUCUCACUAUGUCUAAAUUGCCUUCGCCCUCACUUUUAUCUCACAAGACAAAGAUAGGAUUUUAUGUGGAGUAAAACCGGUGAGGGGCGUACCACGGGUUCCAUCAAAGAGAGCCCGUGUUAUGAAUGGGUGGUUGUAUUUCCUUCCAAGCAUGACGUUCAGGCUUGGCAUAAUCCAGCUCCUUUGUGAAUCUCCAAGUAAUCUCUCUUUGACCGUGUGCACAGACCUGUUGGAUCAAAACGGCCGGCGGAGCCUUCCCGAGAAAAGGUGUGGGCCCCUCUGCAGGUGUCCGCUGUCCGAUAAGCUUGUCAGCAGAGGCUUUUCUGUGCCUGGCUCGUCUGUCAGAAGUACAGGGGUGCCUGGGCUCAGCUUACAGUACUGAGUCAGGGCUAUGAUUGCCAGGACGGACGAGUUUCACCCAGGGAUGGAAGCUUUUAUCACCCUGAGUAACAACCUACAGAGGCCUGGAGCCCACAGAGGUGGAUGAAUAGGUUGCUCUCAGCCCUGCAUCUGAAAACCAAGAGCCAAUGCUCCCAAAGAGACUGAAUUGCUGGAUUCGCUGCAGAACCAGGUCGGGGGAGCUCUUGGUGAAGCUGCUGGUCAUGGAGUGAAAAGGACCAGGGAGGUCGCUGGUAGCUCCGCAGUAGGCUCUCGUGUCUUCAAAGGGAUGACUGAAGAAAGCCUCGCUCACAGCAGCGCUGAAAAUCCAGGCUUGGACGGCCUCUGUUCUUCUAGUCAUCUUGGUCAGGCUUGCAUUUCCCUGAAUAUCUUCAGAGACAGAGAGACGGAGAGGGAGGGAAAGAGAGAAGGAAUGGAAUAAGGGAAGAGGAUGCCCAAACCUGAAAAUCCUAAUAUUUGCAAGUCGAGGAAUCGUUUUGAUGGAAAAAGAAGGUAAAUUUUCUGGGCAAAAUGGAAUUUGAGGGGUGAUUCAGAUUUCACUUAUCCCCUUCCUUGUUCUCUCUUCAAGCCAGCGAGGCCCUCUGGAAAUGGCUAGAAAGUGUUCUGCAUGUAGCAGCUUGCUUCUGCCGUGGUCCGGGGGGGCAGAGCUGUUCAAGCAUUCUCCCCAAGAGCCUCGGAGCAAGAACCUCAGAACCAGCCUGCCGUCCCCAGCUGGGGCUUGGGGGCCUUGCUCUGUGAAGCUUGUGAAAAUUGCAUAAUUUGAACAUAGACUCAGCUAGGAUAAUGAGGACAAACUUCAGAUAAGCAUGUGACAAAACCACUCAUACCACAGAAUAAUACCUCCUGGGACAGUGGAUGGUGAAGUACAUCAAAAUGCAAGAGUGGAAAAUAAAAACUUUGGUGCUCCCCAAGCAAACAAUGAAGCUCUCCAGAACUCAGCUGAGUAUCAUGUAACGAUAAAGAGCACAGACUUCAGUGUCAGCCCUGGUUUCGAAUCCUAGCUAGCUCAUGAGCUGUGCAAGAGCUCCAUCAGGUUCUUCCCCGUUCUGGUCCUCCAUCUCUGCAUCGGUCAAAUGGUAUCUGUGGUAGCUUCCUAGGGCUGCUGUAAGAAGCUACCACAAAUCUGGUAGCUUAGAACCACAGAAAGGUAUUCUCUCAAAGUUCUGGAGGCUAGAAAUCUAAGAUCAAGGCAUCAGCAGGCCAUGCUCCCUCUGAGGCUCUAGGGGAAGAUCCUCCCUUGUCUUCCAACUUCUGGUGUUUGCCAGAAAUCCUUGGUGUUCCUUGGCUCAUAGAUGCAUUACUCCAGCUUCUACCUCUGUCCUCAUGUGGCAUUCUCCCUGUGUUUGUAUCCUCAUCUCCUCUUCUAAUAAGGACACCAGCCAUUGGAUUUAGGGCCUGCUCGAAUCCAGUAUGAUCUCAUCUUAACGAAUUACCUCUGCAAAGACCCUCUUUCCAAAUGAGGUCCCAUUCACAGAUACUUGGGAUUAGGACUCCACCAUAUCUUUUUGGGAGACAAAAUUCAAUCCACAACAGUGCCCCAUGAGUCUGUUGGGGGGAUUAAAUGGGAAAAUGGGAGAAGAGCUUCGACCAGCACCUGGCACAGAGUAACACAAACUAUCAAUAACAUAAUUUCAAAACUUUACAACCAGCUAAUGAUGGUGGAUAUUAUUGUUCUUCUUUGAUGGAAGAGAAAACCUGAAAUGGAGGUUAGGGGAAUAGGCCUAAAGUCAUAGCUUCAAGUUAGUGGCGGAGUCAGAGUGAGUGUAUUUCCUCCUUUAGUCCUCUGCUUGGUUUUCUAUCCUAAUCUAGUUCCUUUUAUCCUUAUCCUUUUCUAUCCUAAUUUAGUUCCUUUUAUCCUUAUAGGUUCUUUCCUUGUAAGACUCACUCUCCAACCCUUGGAGUUUUCUACUUGACCCCUCAAAGUUGAUUCACUACUUUAGAACCCCAAAUUAAAAAGCACUCAGCUAGCAUGGUAGUGAUUCCCGCAUUCAGCAGAGAGGUUUUAAGCCCUUAACUGUGCUAAGUACAAUACUAGAUUUAAAUGCCAAGUAUCGUGCUUAAGUUUAGGACACCAAAGUAGAUUGUGACAUUGACGUUCCUUUAUGUCAAGAGUUUGAAGAUGAUGUAUCUCCAGAAUUCGCCAUUUAUAAACAAAUUUACAACAUGGCCAGAUACUGUUCUAAGUGCUUUAACAAAUAUUAAUGCAUGUGAUCCCCCUAAUAACUGUGUGCAGGAGGUACUGGUUUCUUCCCACUUUACAGAUUAGAAUACUAAGGCAUAGAAAGGCUGAGAUCAUAGAGGUGGAAUGUGCCAGAAUGUUCCAGAACUGGGACUUGACCUGGGUAGUCUGCCUUACGGACCCAGAAUCUGUGCUUUUAUGUGGUGUAUCCCACAUGGAGUGGAUCCCUUGGACAUUAAGGUUAUUUUUAAUAUUUUAGCAUUAGAGACAAUGCUACAAUAAACAUUCUUAAGCCAAAUCUUUGUGCACAUCUUGAACUAUUUCUUUGUAGGAGAUUCUCGCUGUGCCCAAGAGUAGGCAUGUUAUUAAGGCCUUGGUACAUAACAUCAAAUUGCAAGAAGGAGAGGAGUUCUCAGGAAGUGAAAAUGUGAUAAGCAAAAGCAUGAAAUGGAAAAGCAUGGGGGUAUAUCUGGAAAAUAGCAAACCCUCCAAUCUGAAUGGAUUGGAAAGUGCCUGAAGAUGGGAAAUUGAAGAGCUGCCUCUAAAGUGGUCUGGAGCCAGCUUGUGGAGGGCUUUGAAUACCACAGUACAGAAUUUGGAUUUUGUCAGCAGCACUCAGAAACCAGCAAACGUUUUUGAAAUGGGGAGUGAAAUGAUCAGAUUCUGUCUCAAAUCAUCCCAAGGAAAAUUUCCUCUGUCUCCUGAAAGAGAAGUCUUUCAUCACAAUUGCUUUA